UACAGAGGGUGCGAGCGUUAAUCGGAAUUACUGGGCGUAAAGCGCGCGUAGGCGGCUUUGCAAGUCGGGUGUGAAAUCCCCAGGCUUAACCUGGGAACUGCAUUCGAGACUGCAUUGCUAGAGUAUGGGAGAGGGAAGUGGAAUUUCCGGUGUAGCAGUGAAAUGCGUAGAGAUCGGGAGGAACAUCAGUUGCGAAGGCGGCUCUCUGGACCAGCACUGACACUGAGGCACGAAAGCGUGGGGAGCAAACAGG
rnacentral:rRNA from 1 species